ACGGGACGUGUGGAAACGGAGCUCAGGAGCAACAAACACGUGGCUAGAAUGUCCCAUAACUUCAUUUUAGACUCAGUUCCUUUGGGGGAAGCUGCAACAGUGCAAAGCUUUACAAAACUUCUCUUGCGCAUGCAUCCAUGGAAUUGAGUCUGAGAUGCACGGCAACAGUUGCUAAGGUUGCACUAAUUGGAGGAGGAAGUGCCGGGGAUGUUUAGCACUGACGGGGCUUGAGGACCAGGACUUGAUCCGAGCCUGAAUUGGAUCCUGUUUCGGCCUCCAAUUCCUCCAGUUAAUCCGGCAGCGGCUGCAGGGAAGCAAGCGUUCAUUCGACCGCAGAAAACCGAGUUGGCAGCACCUGCAAAAGGAGGAUCAAAGAGGCCAGAGUUAAGCCACCUACUGGAUCCGUGUCACACUAUAUCCUCGGGAUACUGUGUCGAUCUCAGUGGCCACAGCAGCUGGUCAGCUGGACACCAGUGGAUCAUGUUUGGCUGUGAGAUCCUCUCGGAAAUCAAGGCUUCUCAAGGUGCUGGAUUGGUGUCACCAUGUCCCGGAGCUGAAUAUCGUGUUGACGGACAUCUCUAGAAACCCUCAAUCAUUUUUUACACAUCACUUUAACAACUGAAGGCAUGGCCUUUCACAGAAAGACCCGGCAGAGAAUAGAAAGAAAGAGAAGGAGGUUUUCAAAAGAGAAACGGG